GUCCCUUGGGACAGAACACGCGGAGGGCUCACCUGGCAAACACUGCCUUGGCCAGCGUGCUGCAGGCUCAGACACCCGUCUUCCCCUCGACUGGGAAAUGUGAGGAUGGCAAGUAAGCUAAGUUUAUAUAAAUAUGGUUGCAGCGUGAGGUUCAGGUUGUCUGAUUUUUAUUUUUUUAUUAUUAUUUCUUUAUUUUUUUUACCAGCUCGACGUGGGGUUUAAGUCUAAGUGACUUGUAACCUCUAAGAUCUGAGUGGGAUUUUAACACCGCGUGCGUUUGGUGACAUGCUUAAGCGAAAUGAACCCGAGAACAACCAUUGACAACAGCCGCCUCCGUCAGGUUUCAAGCCUCUGCAAGAUCCUGACUGCUAGGGAACAAAGGCUGGUAUGUGGUUCCCUCAAAGGUCAGUCAUUAACCUGCCCCGACAACAGUUUUAGGAAGAUCAAGGCAAUGAAGAAAAACUAAGAAAAAGCACUUUCACUUUGGAAUGAAUUGUUCAAAAUGCCCUUAUACAUUGAGUUUUAUUCCCUUUCAGCUCCGCACUUUUUAGUUCCUGCACGUAUUUAUUUCACAUCAGGAAUAAUGGCAAGAUUUGCUCUCCCAGAGAUUUGACCUUAAGUUUAUUCUAGCCACAACACUAUAGACCAUUUCAUCAAUUAUAGAUGUACUCAUGUGUAUAGAGGAACUGGUAAGCCAGCUCGGUAAUACUACCUUGUCCUGGAGGCUUACCCUUAUAAAUAAAUUAAGGGCAUAUCUUUAUGAAAUACCAGUAGAGAGAGAGAAAGAAAAGAAAGUAAGAGAGAAAGAAAGAAAGGAUGGAA